GCAGUGAUAGUUCAGUGGUAGAUUUCUCACCUUCCACGCGGGAGACCCUGGUUCGAUUCCUGGUCAAUACA
rnacentral:tRNA from 1 species